GAUGAACGCUGGCGGCGUGCCUAAUACAUGCAAGUCGAGCGAUGCGGGGACGGGUGAGUAACACGGGGAAAACCUCGUAUAAGUCCGGGUUAACUUCGGGAAACCGGAGCUAAACGGGAUACUUAUCGCUGGAUCCGCGCUGCAUUAGCUAGUUGGUAAGGUAACGGCUUACAAAGGCAACGAUGCAUAGCCGACCUGAGAGUGUGAUCGGCCACACUGGAACUGAGACACGGUCCAGACUCCUACGGGAGGCAGCAGUAGGGAAUCGUCCGCAAUGGGCGAAAGCCUGACGGAGCAACGCCGCGUGAGUGAGGAAGGUCUUCGGAUCGUAAAACUCUGUUAUUAGGGAAGCGGUACCUAAUCAGAAAGCCACGGCUAACUACGUGCCAGCAGCCGCGGUAAUAC
rnacentral:rRNA from 1 species